UCAGGACAUUCCCAGAUAAACAAAAAAGGAGUGUGGGACCGUAAGACCCGCCCUACAAUGAGUGCUGAAGGGAGUCCUGUAGCCUGAAACAGAACACAUUAUGAAGAAAUAAUGGUCUCAAUAAAGGACAAAGGACCAGCCCCAUGGCCUGGCAGCCCAGACCUCGGUGAUGAUGACAUGGCAGCAAGAACUAUUUACCACGUCAUCUGUUGGGCACCUUCUGUACGAAAUUUCACAGCCCCUGAGCCAAGAACUACCAUCCCUAUCCUACAGUGGGGAAACUGAGGCUCAGCGAGAAGUCAGCCAGGGCCCUGGAAUUACGAUGCCUGCUGGACCCACAUUCAGCUGAAGGAGGGGGCAGAGCAGCCACACGGAA